rnacentral:rRNA from 1 species
GCUUACGGCCAUAUCAGCCUGGGUACGCCCGAUCUCGUCUGAUCUCGGAAGCUAAGCAGGGUCGGGCCUGGUUAGUACUUGGAUGGGACACCGCCUGGGAAUACCAGGUGCUGUAAGCA